GCAAACUACCCCACCUGCAAUGGGAAGCUUUCAGGUGAUGUUUUAUAAAGUAAGUUUUUGUGAAUAUUUAUGAAUUUUGGUGAGGAGUGGUGGUGUGUAGGUUAAAAAGAAACCACAAGAUAUCAGACCCCCACAUUAGAGGAUGUGUAGGUAUGGUGGCCAAAUGGGUCUCAGCCUGACAUUAAAACAAGCUCAGGGGUCAUUUAAAUUGUCUCUGCUCCUCUGUUUCCAGGAAAUCUAACCAAUCAACUUUCAGGACAAUAGCUUGCCAAUGACAGAUGUUUAAUAAAUACUGAAUAUAUCAGUAUAGGAGAAUCUGUUCUAAAAACUUAAAAAAUAUGGUUCUUUAGCAAUAGUUAUACUAUUAAAUAUUCACUGAAUAUUUAAAAUUUGAUUUAGAUAAAACAUAAAUUUGGACAAUUUAGAAUAAGUUAGAUUUUAGAUGAAAAAUUUGUAUUUUUUUCCUCACUUUAAUCUAUUUCUUUUUCAAUCUCAAGUUUACAUCUAUAAAUAUGAAAGAAUGCAUCCUAUAGUCACUGCACCUAGGUGUGUGUUGUAUUUUCUGUAGCUCACUCGGACAAGCUAAAAUUAGAAGUGCCAAUGACCUCAAAACUCAUUCUUUAUCUCUUCUUUUCAGGGUGGACAUUUCCGAUCUCAGAUUCUGACACGUAUACCACAAAAAUAUAAACCCUCUAAUUUAUUUGAUUUCCAGUUUUCAAAAUAUAUUACUUUUUAAAUGUUAUAAUACUUAAUGGAAGGCUUUUACAAAGUUGAAACAAGUUUAAACACAAAAUUUAAAAAAUCACUUAUUCACAAAGAGGUGUCCACGAAUUACAAAUGAGUACAGUUUCUUGUGUUCUUUGUUCCUAUAAAGUAUUUUACAGAUGUAAUUUAAGGGGUUUUUAUUAAAUGGCUGCUAGGUAAGCACCGAGACAUAUUAGCAUCAAAACCGACACAAGUCCCGGUCUAUGUGAAGCUUACAUUCUAGCUGGGGAGAGAUACCAUCAACUCUUUGCACAUGUAAAGUAUCCUGAGUCCCCUUGUAUCCUGCUUUUCAGUCACACGUCCCAGAUCACGUGAUCACAGGUCCCUGCUAACACAGGGACCUUUAACGAAUGGCUGUAAAACAUUCAGGCCUUCGAGUUAUAUCAUGAUUAACCUUGGCAGCCCUGGACUUGGGAAACUGAAUGCUAAUAACCAGGGACCUGAAGAGAUUAUCUGGACUAGUCCUUCUCACCAGUCACUGGUGGGUGAAAACAGACUGUAUUGCCGGCUGCCUGCCAGCCCCUUCAGAACGUGUGAUUCAGCUCCCCUCUUACUUGCUCUUCUCAUAAACUGCCUCGCUUCUUCCUCAUUUCUGAAGUGUGAGAUAGAUAAUUUAGACGGUCCAAUGAUCUGAAGGUUUACUACUGUAGGGAAAAAGAAGUCAGGCCCAAUCCCUUUGUUUGUCCAGCUAAAGAGAUCAGAUCAUACAUUACUUUUCAAGGUUAGGUAAGUUUCAGAGACAGGGCUUAGGGAUCUUCUGUCUCGGAGUUGGCAUCGAGAGGUCAGCUCCAUAAACCCCUAGGGGUCUGUCUUCAUAUCAUAAGUCGAGAUCUCAGGGAGAAAACCUACCUAGAGGGAGGGAAGAGGAGGAUAUUUAACACAGGCAGAGCUUCUAAUGGCCAUUCCUUCAGGAGGACUUUACCACCAAGAACGCCUGACACGUAAGAGCAUCGCAUCACUGAGUUCACAAAAGAAAGAAAGAAAGGAAAAGAAGGAAAGGAAGGAAGGAAGGAAGGAAAGAAAGAAAGAAAGAAAGAAAGAAAGAAAAGAAGGAAAGGAAGGAAGGAAGGAAGGAAGGAAGGAAGGAAGGAAGGGGAAGGGAAGGGAAGGGAGGAAGGAAGGGAAGGGAAGGGAAGGGAAGGGAAGGGAAGGAAGGAAGGAAGGAAGGAAAGGAAGGAAGAAAGAAAAGGAAGGAAGGAAAGGAAGGAAGGAAAGAAAGAAAGAAAGAAAGGAAAAGAAGGAAAGGAAGGAAGGAAGGAAGGAAAGAAAGAAAGAAAGAAAGAAAGAAAGAAAGAAAGAAAGAAAGAAAAGAAAAGAAGGAAAGGAAGGAAGGAAGGAAGGAAGGAAGGGAAGGGAAGGGAAGGAAGGAAGGAAGGAAGGAAAGAAAGAAAGAAAGAAAGAAAGAAAGAAAGAAAGAAAGAAAGAAAAAGAAAGAAAGAAAGAAAGAAAAAGAAAGAAAGAAAGGAAAGAAUGAAAGGAAAAGAAGAAAGAAGGAAAGGAAAGAAAGAAAGAAUGAAAGGAAAAGAAGAAAGAAAGAAAGAGAGCGAGUAAGGAAAGAAAACUAUCCAGAGCCAUUUAUAAGUUCUGACACUGUAGUGCCAGAAUAAUGGCCCCUAAGAUGCCUGCCUCCUAGUCUGGAACCUGUGCAUAGGUCCCCUUACAGGGCCAAAGGGACUUGGCAUAUGUGAUGGGAUGAAGGAUUUUAAGGAAGAGAGCUUAUCCUGGAUUGUCAGGUGGGCACGCUGUAGUGACAAAGGUUUUUAUAAGAGGGAGGCAGCGACAUCAGAUCCAGAGAAGGAGGUGGGAGGAUGGAGGCAGAGGGUCAGAGCAAUGCGGGGCCACUGUGAUGCUCUUUAUAAGCCUCCUUUCAAUUCAGGAUAGAAGGCAAAUGGACUUUUGCAAGCUACCAAACCUCUCUCCAGCUUCUUUUCCUUCGUACAUAUAUAUGAUAGUAGUAUUUACUACAGAGGUAAUCUUGAGAAUUAAAUCAGGCUAAGGACAUAACUUUUCAAAAGUACCUCCCUCAUGGUAAAUGCUCAACAAAUACCAGUUAUUUUUAACAUGAAGAUAGGAAACAAUUUAAUCACCUUAAAAGGAUGCCCAUGAUAACUCUCAUAUCCUUAAAGACAGGUUAGAGCAGUGCUACCAUCCCAGCCUAUGAAGAAAAAGGUAGAGCUGUUUCCCGACAGGUGCAAAGUGAAGAAAUGAACCUCUGUAAAAGGUCACCCUGCUUUGAACCGCUCUUUCCUCUGCUGCUUCUAGCACAAGCCCCUCUAGCACACACGCAGCCUGAGUGGCCUCCUCGUCCCUCAAGUGGGCUCCACCACUCCCAGGGGCUGGGUCGUCACGCUUCCGCAGUGUUUGGUGGAUGUCAGCCACCUUUCAUCUCUGCUUCCCCUCUCCAGAGUCCUCAGGUCCUUCCCUGUGCCUCUUCCGUCUCCUUCCCCAGUCACACGAUUUCUUCCCAAACAUUCUCUCCCCAAACCACACUAAUUACCACCUUUAGGGAAGAGAUGUGAGGGGUUGUUGGCGUGGCCUUCCGAAAGUGAGCGUCUGGGUUCCCCGGCUGGGGUGGCCAGGGCAGAGGCAGGGUGGGGCGUGGAAUCUAUUACAAGGCAAUCCUGCAGAGCUGGGGUACGACUUCGACACAUGGCAUAUGAGAAACUCUUAGCACAUGGCCUAGCAUAGAGCAAGCGCUCAAUGAAUAAUAGAUAUUGCUAUUUUUUGUUUUAUUACUACCUGCUGCCACCAUUACAACCCUUAGAGCAGUCUGUCUGCAUGGCUAGACUGUGAGAGAAGGAACUGCAUCUCAUUUAUCUUUGGAUUUGCCCAGCACUCUGCACAGGGCCUGAGAGGUGCUCAAUAGAUGUUUGCUAAAUGUGCAGCCUCAAGCCAACUCCCUCUGGGCACGUCUCAAAGAUCAACUUUGCACAACAGGCCCACCUCCGCCUACAGGGCAACAACCGGGAGGAGCACAACAGCCCGGGUGCAGCAGGCUGUUAAUGACCUGUCUCCGAGGAAAUACUGCCCAGCACUACAGUGAUUCACCACCAAAAGGUGCGUUUUAUGGUCUCAUUUUUCUUCUGUGAUAUUUUGUGCCACGUUAAAUUUUAUCCCUAGCAAUUGAGAUUCUAAAUCCAACCUUAAAGGCAGAAGACCAGGGAGGGGCUAUCGUUACAGGGGUAUUGAGAGCAAUAACUGCAUUCAGCAGUGAAACUACCAUUCUGCUUCCAUGUUAACACUGGGUAAUUAACUGUGAGAAAGCGUCUUCCUUGCCCCAGGUGAAACAGUUAAGUUUGGAGUGGCAAUGCUGGGCUGGAGAGAAGACAGGAUAAAUGUGCCUCCAGCCCCUUUACCUGUCGCACCAGCGAGUGUCACAUCUGUGGAAAAGCCAGAACUCCUUCUUAGAGGAGCUGGAAGAGGGAUGUACCCCCUUCCUGAGUCAUUCCUUCAAUUAUCUGAUCCAUGUCUGGACACACACCCACAAAUUAAAUCCAUCUCCUACCAUGACCUGCCUCUCCAAGCCUUUAUCCUGAGUCAUCCGAAACGCACCAGGCAUACUCAGCAAACACUGUACCCUUGUCCCUUCCGCUCUGACUGGAGACCCGGAUCACCCCUCAGGAUUCCGUGUUUCCUUUAGCCUUGACCUUGGAGUAGGACAGGUAAUGUAUUCCCUACUACUGUCAAUUCCAGAACAUUCUCUCGCCCCUCAAAAAAGACUCUGAAGUUACAAAUCAUUUCACUCGCUAUCUGUCCCAGCCACUUAUGCAUCUGUUGCAAAUACUACAGCUACGUGGAUAUCGAAGGCAUAGUUUCAAUUCCUUGGACAUUUAGCCCCUGCCAUAAGGUCCCCCUCUCCAAAUCUGCUCUUGUUAAUAAUUCACAGUGACCUCAGGAACCCAAUUAUUUUAAUACCUCGGCACCACAUUAAGGUUCCCAGUGUCCCAGCCCUCCUGCUUUUCAGGUUACAUUAAGGUUCCCAGUGUCCCAGCCCUCCUGCUUUUCAGGUUUGUCUGAAACAGGUGAUCUUGAAGACACCUUUAUCCCAGCGCCCUACUGAGUUUCCACUGUCCUUCACCUCCCUGCGUCCUAAGUUUACCUGGUAGCAGACCUUGAAUUUCACGGCCCUUCAUUACAAUCACACUUUUUCAUACAAUUUGCACUCCCCGUCCCUUUCCCUUUAUCGGACUAAGGUAGGUUGAUUUUUGACCCUGGUCAAGUCCAGCGCUGCCUCUUCAAGACCUUCACCUGUCCAGCUGAGUGUGGCUAAUGUCAACGGAAACCACGGCCGGAGAGAAGUUCAAGGGAAAAAACAGUAGCAGCAUGACUACUGCAAUAGAGGAAAAGAGGCCUCAGCAUAAAACUGGGCUCAGCUACAAAUACAAGAACAAGUGAGGAUUUACUGCCAAGGAUCAGGCCAAGGGGGUCAGAGGAUGGAAAUUUUAAGAGAAGACCUCAAGGGUAGGGGGAUGCUUGCUAAAUCAACCAAAAAGGAGUCUUUCUGAAGGCAGACCAAGUGCUAAGGUAUCACCUAUGGGAGGGUGGGCCUGAAGAAUCUGAUCAGAUAUUGAUCAGCUAUUAAGGGCGACAAUCCUUGCCAAGUGACUUCUUAGGAUUCUUGCUAAAACUGGGCUAGGCCAGCCUGAGGAUAAGGCAGUGGAGAAGGAGUUUAGUCAAAAAGAAGGCUUAGAGAAACACGACUGAAGUUUGAUCAAGGAGAGAGUUUAUCGCCAGAAAAACUCAAAGUCUUGCUGAGUGGACUAAAAUUACGGUAAGGACCACUAAGUCAAUUAAGAUGGAAGAUAAAGAAAGCAGAGAGGCAAACCCAAUGCAGUGUGAGAAGGAACUGUUAGCAAUCACUUAUAUUGUCCUAUUAUGUGCCAGGCACUUAUUCUGAGUGAUUUAUAUGCAUUCAUUUUUAAAAAUUAAUAUAUUCGCUUUGUAAAUGAAGAAACUCAGACAAAGACCUACCCUCUGACAACCGAGGGAUGAAUCAAGAGGAGAGGGGGGUUCAGGCAAAGCACAAAUUCAAAAGGAAGCCUUGGUUCUCCCUUUUGAACAUAGAGGAGCAAAGAGCCCCACUCUUGCCCCUUCUCCUUAGAGCAUUUACUUCAGAAAACAUGUAAUUGCAGAUUCUUUCUCCGUCUCUUUGAAACGUCUGUAAAUCGUUUCAAAGGCUAAAAAAACCUCUUCUCUGAGUUACAACCCAAGAAUGUAAUUCUCAAGGACCUGGGGGCUAUGUCUUCGAAAUGUAAUCAUCAAGGCAAAUAACAAGUCCCAUCCCCCAGUCCCCGGAGAGGGUAGGAGCCUAACAUCCAAUUUCCAUGGAGCCUCGCUCCACGUUGCAAAUUUACUCUCCUCAUAAAGAUAUGAGAAGUGCAUGUUUCUUUGGAUACAGCCAAUUAGCUGACACAGACUGUUAUUUCAACUGCCAAAUGAAGUUAGAGGGAACUACGGUGACCAAUGGUAUGAUCAAGGCCUCUUACUCAAGAGCAGUUCUUAGUUUCCUUGAGAACAUGUAUGGAUCCUCAUGAUGGGAUGUAUCUGCUUGGCUAGAGAAAAGGAUGGCAUUUCUUUCUCUCUUUGCAAUCUCUUAGAAGAUUACAUUCUGGCAUCAUGCUUUUUUAAUCAUAAAAUGGUUUUCUUUCUCUCUGACUUUGGUGUGCAGAGGUUUUUCUGUUUUUUGUUGUUUUUUGGUUGGGAAUUUUUUUAAAUUAUAUUUCCCCAACAAGUGCAAGAACGGGACAGGUGAGGAUAAAUGAGAUUCAUGGAGAACACUGGACUCCAAUUCUAUAUUUUAUACCCUGAGUUACCCCUGAGAAAUACAAGAAAUUAGGGCAAUAUAACUUUGACUUUUACUUUAUAUAUUUACCAGUUAGGUGAUUUCUUUGCAAUGAGAAUAUGUUUUCAUUGCACAUUUUAGAACACAGCCUUAAAAGCCAGAAGUUGCUGCUGCCAAAUGCAGCAUAUUCAGAGUCCUCAUAAAGGACCCCAUGGACUGGUGAUUGUACAUUUCUCUUCUCUUUUCCAUAUUUGAAAAUCUGUACUUCCUGUCCUUACAUACGUACAAACUUUGCUGUUACAACAAAUUACCACAAAUUUGAUGACUCAAAGCAACAGAAAUUCAUUAUUCUCAGUUCUGGACUCAGAGGUAUAAAACCUGUUGGCAGGGCUAUUAACUUCCAAGGGAGACUCCAAGUCGUUGCUUUCCCCAGCUUUCAGAUGUUGCUUGCAUUCCCUGGCUCAUGGUCCCUUCCUCCAGGUUCAAAGUCAACAGAGUGGCAUCUGCAAAUCUCUCUCUCUAGUCUAUCUCUCUCCUUUCUCUCAUCGUUUGCAGGAAGUAU
rnacentral:lncRNA from 9 species